rnacentral:rRNA from 1 species
AACUAACGCUGGCGGCGUGCCUAACACAUGCAAGUCGUACGAGAAAGCCGGCUUCGGCUGGUGAGUAAAGUGGCGCACGGGUGAGUAACGCGUGGAUAAUCUGCCCUUAAGUGUGGAAUAACGUACCGAAAGGUGCGCUAAUACCGCAUAAUGCCUGGCAACACAAGUUGUCCGGCCAAAGAAGGCCUCUGUUUACAAGCUUUCGCUUCAGGAUGAGUCCGCGUACCAUUAGCUUGUUGGUGGGGUAAUGGCCUACCAAGGCUGCGAUGGUUAGCUGGUCUGAGAGGAUGAUCAGCCACACUGGAACUGAGACACGGUCCAGACUCCUACGGGAGGCAGCAGUGAGGAAUAUUGCGCAAUGGGGGCAACCCUGACGCAGCAACGCCGCGUGAGUGAGGAAGGUUUUCGGACUGUAAAGCUCUGUCGAGCGGGAAGAAGUGUACCAUGGCUAAUAUCCAUGAUAUUUGACGGUACCGCUAGGG